AAAGAGCUGACCAAAUCACCCUCUGAUGAUGAUGAUCUUGUUGCAAUAUUACUGUUUCCAUUGACCCUCCUGCAGUUCAAUCUAAUCUCCCCUUGAUUUCCUGUCAGUGGUUUCAAAUUUCCCAUUCUUAUCAUUGAGGUCACAAAGUUUUUAAAGAAAGCAUUCUGGUUCCUCCCAAAGUCCUCGACAAUGGCAGCGGUAUCGGCACCAGGAGUCGAAAAUAACUCUUGAUCACUCUGCAGAAGGCCUUUGCGGCCUCUAAGAUUGGAGAAGUAUUUGUUGUCGAAAACAUCAGGUGUCGUGACAUCAAAAUUAGCAAGAACGCCGCCGUUUCCACCUUGUGGGCAUAGUUUCCUCAGUUGUUGUAAGAAGGUUGCGUCUAGGGUUGGGUCUGGCUUGCCAGUGUUGUUAAAAUCGUAUAAUCUGCCCCUGAAAAAUUGGCACUGAGCCCUUCCGAACGUGUGUGCUCCUGAAAAACAUGCAUGACCAAAUCUUUGUUAUUUUUACUGAAUUCACAUACGAGGAACAAUAAUGAUAAUUUUAUUGUUAGGGAUAUUAUUUAAAUUUGGAGUUAAGUAAAUAUAAAUUUAAGGCACCAACACUCAUUUCGUGAAUUAACUUUUGAGUAUGAGUUACUAGUAGCAGGCAGUUUUGACUCCUAAAAGUUUACUCUCAUAACUUUACUCAAGUAACUAAAAGGAUGUAGAAGCAAUUAAUAAUUACCGGAGAGUGCAACAAGAUCAAGCUUGUCAUUGAGGCCAACAUUUCUAAAACUAGAUUUGAGCUCAUCAAGAGUAUCAAAUGGUCCUGGAAGAUUCUGAUUUGCAAGAGCUCUGUUUGCCGUUCUGCUGUCUCUUCUUCCCAAUGGAACUGCCCAUGACGGACCCCCUGACUGUAACCAAGAGCCAUUCACUCAAAAUCAGCAAUAAUCUUAAGAGAUGUGCGUUUGGGGCGGACUAUUUAAUUUGCUAGCCGUUGAAUCAAAACUUUGUCGUAUAACAAAAGAAGAAAACUUUUAAGUUUAAAACUAAGGCCUUGCUACUACGAUGCACCAGCGCAGUAAAAAGUGUCUCGCUGUCGGUAACAAUUUAUCCGUCAAUAUUCACUAUAUUGCCAUACGUGUAGCAAUUUUGGUACCAUACAGUGUAGCUAAUGCACCAUAGUCAAUAAAUCACCCCUUUUAAAUAAUGGAGUCCACCACAUCGUCCGAAUUUAAAAAUGAUGGGUCCAAGGAUGAAUCCCUUCACUUAAAUCAACUUCCACAUGGUGGGACAAUUUUGUCGUUGAAUAGCAGAUGCAAUAACUAGCAAAGGCUAGUAAAGGCUAAACAUAGACAAUUUUGUCAAAAAAACUAGCAAAGGCUAAACAUGUGGACCCAGAUCUUGCACAUUGUUCUAUGUAAAUAAUUAUUUAAUUAAUGUAUUCUUCUAAGGGUAAAGUUGAACUCACGGGUUAUUUAAUUAACUGAAAAAAUAAUAUAAAAACACGUUAAAUUUAUAGGGGUUAUUAUUAAUUGAAAAAAAUAGUUAAAAAUUACAUUAAUACUGCAAAGGUUUACCAUUAUUCUCUUAACUUAUUCUGAUACCCAUAUUAAUUUACUUCUAAGCGUAAAAUAUUAACCAGGAAGAGGAGUUGGUAAUAGAAAUUCAUUACCAAAGCAACGGAUCGUUCAGCCGCAAUAGUAAGAAUAUCAGCGCAGGAAACAACCCUUGGACAUGCCCUUUCAACGGCAGCUUUCAUGUUAUCAAUAACUUCAAAACCCCUCGCCGAAUUGUUAUUUGGCGCAGCAAAUUUCUCGCUGUCUAUGGUGUUAGUGCUGUCCAGCAAAAUCGAUGCAUCACACCCCUGAAAAAAUAAUAUUAAUUAACAACUUGCUAUGUUAACAGUCCAUUGUAUUGUUAGUUUUACAAGUAGAUAGAUUCCUUCUUAUCUUAUGGACAGGAAUUCAAAAAAAUUAUAUAAAUAAUGCAAACUCUUCUUGUUUAAAUUGUCUUAUUAUUACAUAUGUUUUUAUGACUAGGAUUUCCUGUUGAUUUAAAUUUUCGGCUGGAAGAAUAUAAAACAAGUGUGAUUUAUUUUCAACCAUACACCAUUAAUAUUGGACCCAUGAUCAUUAAAAGCACUCAGCAGGGGUGAGGCCAUGAGAUGGAUUUUAAUUCCUGUUUUGGACCAAAUCUUUACUAGAUUAAAAUUUUUAGUGCAUGAAAACCCCAUAUUAAAAUUUAUUUAUAAAAAAAGAAUUACAUGGUCUUCGGUACAUCCAAAUUAGAGAGGAAAGUUUUGUUGUACGGCUGAAGCGAAAAAAUCAGAUCUUUUAGCUUGGGGUUGGGGGUGAGGAUCUCUACGUGCAUGAAUAUGCGGUCAGAAGAAGAAUGCAAUGAGUAGCAGACAGAUAAAAGAGAAAAUAUAUAUAAAUGGUUUUGGAAGUUGUUGAACAUAAAAUGAUAUAUUCAAACUCUUCCUUAGGCUUUAUGAAAACUCUAUAUUUUGUUUAAUGCCAUAAAAAAUUAUAAAGAUACUGUUCAUUGACAUACUUGAAACUAUGUUAUAUCAGUAAGUACAUGGACAGAGAGCUUGAUAAAGUAAAGAAUAUGAAAAAUGAGAGAGCAGAGAUUGCUUACAUCAACAAAACAGUCAUGGAAAUGAAGCCUGAUGAGGCUGGCACCGAUCCGGAUAUCGGACGAGAAAGCUUUCUUAAGCACAUCCUCGAUAGUGUUCAAUACAUUAGGGCAUGUGGAAGAAUAAAAAGAUGGAGAAAGUUGAGCUUGAGAUGGUGAUCCCUCAAGCACAAAAGCAACAAGAAGAGCUGCUGCGAGAAGAUAACGAAGUGAAGCCAUUUUGUCUAAGAGUUACUAGAGAAAGGCCUCUUUAUUUAUAACCAAACAAACCAGAUUAGUAUUAGAACUUUGCAGCAACCUCGAAGUUCCUCGUUUCACUGUUUGAAUAGGUUAGUUACGUUAUUAAUUCUCUUAAUUAGGUUUAUGUGAUUUUUUUCUUUUUGAAACUAACGUGGCCCAUGUGACCAUCUAAGUAAACUAUAUGGAUGUAGAUGUCUUUUUUUUUUUUAUUAGUAAAAUAAAAUAACUAGUUAAUUUUCUUUUUUAAAUUUCAUUCAAUUUUUUCUUUCAUGUUUAAAAGCUUAAGUCUUCAAUUAGAUUCUUCAAUUUUAAUUUUUUUUCAAAUACAAUAUACUAAUUACGGUGCAUUUAAAAUUAUAUUUCUUAUUUUCAUAAUGAUCUUGAAAUUUACAAAUAACCUUCGUUUUUGCGGAGAGAAUAUAAGAAAGAGGAAUAUUUGUUUGUAAAAUUUUAUUAAAAAAAAGUAUAAAUGAACGUAUUAGAAAUGCAUGUAUAUCAAACUUAUUUGAGAAUAAAAACUUAUUAAAAUGAAAUCCAAAAUCCUGAGUAAUUAUUCAUGAAAAGAGGGACUAAGUUGAUAAUUCUUGAAAUGGUGCCUUUAUUAGGUAGGGGCGGCGACGCCUUGAGUCGCUUUUGUUUAAUGCCGGCUUACCUGUCUCUUUUAUCGUAUGUGUGAAUGCGGAGCAUGUGGCGUGUGGAUUCCACGUAUUCGAAAUCCUUCAUUUCAACCUUUUGGAACUUUUCAUUUGUUUACCGAAAUGUCAAAUAUCAUUUUGUCAGCUUAUACAUAUUUAGAUGCGAGAUCGAGGCUUUUUAUGUGGAAAUGGUCUUGUAUCAAUAAUUAUGAUUUUACGUAUGGAUAAUUUUGUUAGAGUGUAAUUUAUGUAUUAAUUUUAAAUUUUUUUUUUAAUAUUGAUAUUUUAUACUUAAUAAUAGUGAUUUACUUGUGUUUUAUUUUUACAGGUGCAAUUCUAUUGAUUGGUGCUAAAAUUUAGUUACAAGAUGAUGUUUAAGGAUGAUUGUUCUCUUAGAGAAAUUAUGAGCGUCAGAAGAACUUUGUUGAUAAGACGUGGGCGCGUACUGUCAACUACGGACUGCAGUUUUUAGUUUAACGUGUUUUGUAUUUUUGGUUUUUUUGUAAUUACGAAUUUAAUAUUUCAGAUAUUAGUAUUUUAUUUUAAAUAGAACUCUAAAGGAGAAGAAAGAGAGAGUGUUUAAGGGAGGAAUCUAUUGUGAACCAGGGGAGAUUGGGGACAAAAAGGAAGAAAUCCUAGAUCUAAACUUUUUUCUUCUCUCUAUGAAGAACUAAAACUAUUUUUCUGGUUGAAGGAUAAUGAAACUUUGAUUCAUCACUACUGUGAGAUCUUUCUUAUACUUUAAUUGUUUUAUUACUUUUUGGGUAUUUGUUUAUUCUCUAAAUUAUUCUCAUGAUUAUGUUUGUUAAUUAGGUAAUUGGCCACUAUUUAAUUAUCAACUUAAUAUAUUGUCAAUUAAAGGAUUUAUCGUAUGAAGAUUUUAAUGUUUGUGACAAAUAACGUAGCAGUGAGUUGUGUUAUGAGAAUAAACAAUCUAAUUUAAAUGAACAAUCAUAUGUAUUUGUUGAUUAUGAUUUGGGUCUCUCUGGUUUUUCAGGCUGUCAAUUGAUUAAAUCCUAUGAUCGUAUCUAGGGUUGUCUAUUGAUUAGGGAAAUAGCCAACAGUCGUACCUUGGUUAUCAACUAGUUAAGGAGAGAUUGACUAUUAGAGGGUCUCGGUAGCUAUAACUGGUCUAUUUAUAAGUAGUAAUAAUUUAUAUUUAAAUCAAUGAUCAGUAGUCGAAUCAAGCUGAGUUAAUUCCUUCAACCAGAGCUUUCUCCAAUUUGAAUUACAACUUUAAUUUGCAUUCUUGUUAUUUUAAUUUAAUUUUUAUUAUUGUCAACAAAACCCCCAUUUUAUGUUUUACGUUUCAAAAGGAUUUAAAUAAUUACCGAUCUCUGUGGACACGAUCCUGCUCAAUCACUAUCCACAAUUUAUUCAUUCGCAACAAAAUAUUUUCUUUGUGCGGCGGUAAAAAAAAAAUGAUUUUUUGGAGAGAGACUAUUUCACCAAUCGAGUCACAGGUAUCUAACAUUUAAGUCAUAGUUAUUAUGGACUUGCCUAUCGUGCAACAGUGGCACCAUGCCACCGCUUUUGUCUUUUUUUGUGUAAAAUUUCAUAAAGUCCUUUCACUUAUUCUUAUUUGAACUUUCCUUCACAAAUAUUAAGUUCAUUUCUAUCAAACCCGUGAAUCCUUCAACGGCCGAUCAACGGCAAAUCGGCUCCUCCGGUGGCUGUGGUUGGUCAGAAAAGACAGAGGGAACUGUGGAGAACAAAGCCCAAGUAGUGGCGUCACCGAAAACCGGAGAAACCGCGGCGAAUUGAAGCAGGAUUUUGUGACUUUUCACGGCUUCGAUCGGCAGCUUUCCGAAUGUUUUACGGCGACAAGGAUGACAUGGAGAUUACCGGCGUCGCACAAGCUUCCGAUCGAUACCAACCUUGGCUGGUGGAGUAGCCGGAAACGGAAACAAAAUCCGGGUCAGUUUCGCGAGUCGGGUUGACCCAGUUAUUUUUGCUACAAGGAUGGCGUGGAGAUAACCGGCGUCGCACGAUCUUCCGAUCGGUACCAACCUUGGCCGGUGGCGUGGAUAAAAAUGGAAACGAAAUUCGAGUCGGGUUCACUGGUAUUUGUGAUAAAGAGAGGGGUAUUGUAAUAAAGGUGCAAUAUAGAAGAAAAAUGUAUAAAUUGCAAAUAGUAUAAGGUGCUAUUUAUAAUGUUUAUAUGGAUGCAAUAGAAAUUAAUUUAAUAUUUAUGAGGUAAAGUUUAAAUAAAAAUGAAUGAAAGGGGUUCAGAGACAUUUUACAACACUGUUGACACAAAAGAUAACUAUGAUUGUACCGUAGGAUCCAGUUAUUAUAGUCAAAAAAAUAAUUUAUUAAAUAAAAAUUAAUAAUAUAAUAUUUAAAUAAUAAUUUUGCUAAAAGUAGUAAAGAUAUUAGAAAAUUUUCAUCGUGAGUUUAGAUCAUCUCAGUUUUUAAAGUACAGAAAUAAGCGGUGGUUCUCUCACGCGGACACCCGUAGCUUAAAAAAUAUGCGGACACUCACGUUUUGACCGUUGGAUCCCAUCAACGGCUGAAUUAAGUUGUGACGUAAAGACAACUACUGACAUUUUCGGCAUGUAGGCCCGGUCUUCAAAACUUUGAAAAAAAAAAAAAACCAGUUCUUUUAUUCAAUGGCACCAUGUGAGUAUAAAAGCACAAUAAUUUCUUUCCUUUUUUUCCCCCAAAACUAACUUGUUGAUUUUUAUUUGGGAAAUUUUUAAACUAACCUCAAAUAAAUUGAUAUCUUGCACGGCGCAUCUAAAAAAAUAACGUGUUGCACCGCGUCCUCAAUUCUAUUAAUUUUUUAGUUAUUUUUAAUGACUCUGUUUAACUUUUGAUUGAAUGAUAAAAAUACCUCUCUAUAUGAAAAAAAAUUUUUUUAGCUCAUUUAAUUUUUUUUAAGUUUUUAUUUCAAUUGCAAUAAAAAAAUUUCUUGUUACAUGUACAUUGUUACCACUAUUAUUUUUCCUUUAAUUUUUUAAAAAUUUUUAUUUCAAUUACAAUAAAGAGAAUUCCUAUUAAAAUUAAUUUAAGAAAUAAAUUUCUCAUUUUACCCCACCACUAUUAAAUUUAACUGAGAAAAUAACAAAAUUAAAAGCACAUGCAACAAGUCAAAUUUUUUAAGAACGCAGUGCAAAAUAUCCAAUUAUUUGGGGUAGGUUAAAAAUUUUCCUUUUUAUUUUUCAAUUUUCAAAGAUCAAUUUACAGUCAUCAUCAUCACCUUUUUUGCUUCUCCAUCUUUCCAUCAUCAAAAUUAUCCUUCCGAUCGAAGAAGAUGAAAGAAAGAAGAAAAACACACUUCGGUAAGUCACCCAAAAAAAAAAAAAAAAAACUUAACGACCCAUCUAAAUAAUCAAGCUGAAAGGUAUCUCUAACAGAAGAUUUUCUCAAAAAAAAAAAAAUUGAAGAAGAAAAACACAGGCCAGGACAUUCUUAAGAAACUUGAAAGUUCAUGAAAGAAAACAAAAUGAAGCAUUUAAGCCACAGGUAAGGAAUAUUAGAAGAUUAACAUGUUGGACACUAAAUUAUUUAAAUUAUUUAUUAAAUAAUUUAGUGUUAUAUUUUAAAAGGUACAGCGGUCUUACUUUAAUUGAAACCACAAGUAGGAGUUAAAUAAUUAAGAAACGACAGGAUGACUUUUUGAAAUGGGUAAAAAAUGAUUUUAUUAAUGAUCAUGAAAAAGGUAACUGUGGCUACUGGCUACAAGUGUUUUCUUUUCUGGGGAAAAAGGAUCAUAAUAAUUGCGAAAUGGUUUAGUGAAAUAGUACGGAGAUUUUAUUGGUUUUAGAAAUUAUAUAGGCUCUUUUUUGGUACACACAGACCCCAAAAAUUGUAAAAUAGAUUUUUAAAAUUUGUCCAAAAAUAAGUUUUGUUAUCCCAUAAAAAAGGUAUGUAUUGAGUAUUUCUGAAAAUAAAAGAUUCUUCCCUACUAUUUUGUCAAACUACGCAUGUUUGACAAAAAGUACAAAGAAAUUUGUAAGAAUAAGGUGUUUUUCCGGUUAGUAUUUUAAAGCUAGAGGAUAAAAUGGACCACUAAAAACAGAAAAAUGACUCAAAUGACAAUGUGUAUCGAUGACAUAGGAGAAAAAAAUACACAUGACAAGGAUUUCUGAUACAAAGAAAGCAAGGAUGUGAAUACACAAACACAACCUUAGUUUAUUGAAAAUAAAAAGCAUGUUUCAGGCAAAACAUAGGAGUAAAUUCACGAGUUUGUUACCCACAAACUAGCUUAUUUAGAAAGAGCUGAUCAGAUCACCCUCUGACGAUGAUCUGGUUUCUAUAUUACUGUUUCCAUUGACCCUCCUGCAGUUCAAUCUAAUCUCCCCUUGAUUGCCUGUCAAUGGUCUCAAAUUCCCCAUUCUUAUCAUUGAAAUCACAAAGCUUUGAAAGAAAGCAGCCUGGUUGCUACUAAAGACAUUGACAAUGGCAGCGGUAUCGGCACCGGGAGUCGAAAACAAUUCUUGAUCACUCUGCAGAAGGCCCUUGCGGAUUUGAAGAUUGAAGAAGUAUUUGUUGUCAAACAAAUCAGGUGUUGUGACAUCCAGAUUAGUUAGAACGCUGCCGUUUCCACCUUGUGGGCAUAGUUGCCUAAGUUGUUGUAAGAGGGUUGUGUUAAGUGUUGGGUCUGGAUUGCCAGUGUUGUUGAAAUUGAAUAACCUAUCGCUAAAAGUUCGGCACUGAGCCCUUCCAAAUGUGUGAGCUCCUGAAAAACAUGCAUAGCCAAUCUUUGUUAUUUUUACUCAAAUUCAUACAAAUUAAGGAUAAUAAUUGAGUUUCAUUAUGGUGGUUCUCUUGGGAAGCAAUUCAAAUUUCAUGAUGUGAUUAAGGGGAGUAAAUUUGUCAAACGUUUUAACAUAUUCCUAAUCACCAAUGUCAAACUUUAAAACACAGUUUCUUCGCAUCAUUAGGAUAUUCAGUCAAGCCUCCUAGGUGCUGUAGAGUAUGAAUGUGCUUUGUGUCGGUGGUCGUCUUAGUAAGAGUAAUAAUGAGAAAAAAAUUGAUAUUUAGUGGAUGAGACAUCCUUAUCAAAAUUUAUUUUUUUCUUUUUAAAUAAGAUAUUCAACAUUUAAACUAUCUCUAAGAUUUCAAGACUCAGUAUUGGCAUUAAAAAAUUUUCCACCUCCAGAUUUCUAAUUCUGGCUCCAAUACUGCUUUAUCCCAAAAGACUCCAAGGUCUGUUUGUACUCAAGUCAAAGGGCGUAAAAGCAAAUAUUACCGGAGAGUGCAACAAGAUCAAAAUUAUCGUUGAGGCCAACAUUUCUGAAUCUAUCUUUGAGCCUCGUAAGAGUAUUGUUCGGUCCUGGAAGAUUUUCAUUUGCAAGAGUCCUGUUUGCGGUUCUGCUGUCUCUUCUUCCCAAUAGAUUUGUCCAUGAAGGACCCCCUGACUGUUACCAAAACGACGAUCAUUAGUCAAAAGCAUCACUUGAGAGAUGCAUAAUAAGCAANNNNNNNNNNNNNNNNNNNNNNNNNNNNNNNNNNNNNNNNNNNNNNNNNNNNNNNNNNNNNNNNNNNNNNNNNNNNNNNNNNNNNNNNNNNNNNNNNNNNNNNNNNNNNNNNNNNNNNNNNNNNNNNNNNNNNNNNNNNNNNNNNNNNNNNNNNNNNNNNNNNNNNNNNNNNNNNNNNNNNNNNNNNNNNNNNNNNNNNNNNNNNNNNNNNNNNNNNNNNNNNNNNNNNNNNNNNNNNNNNNNNNNNNNNNNNNNNNNNNNNNNNNNNNNNNNNNNNNNNNNNNNNNNNNNNNNNNNNNNNNNNNNNNNNNNNNNNNNNNNNNNNNNNNNNNNNNNNNNNNNNNNNNNNNNNNNNNNNNNNNNNNNNNNNNNNNNNNNNNNNNNNNNNNNNNNNNNNNNNNNNNNNNNNNNNNNNNNNNNNNNNNNNNNNNNNNNNNNNNNNNNNNNNNNNNNNNNNNNNNNNNNNNNNNNNNNNNNNNNNNNNNNNNNNNNNNNNNNNNNNNNNNNNNNNNNNNNNNNNNNNNNNNNNNNNNNNNNNNNNNNNNNNNNNNNNNNNNNNNNNNNNNNNNNNNNNNNNNNNNNNNNNNNNNNNNNNNNNNNNNNNNNNNNNNNNNNNNNNNNNNNNNNNNNNNNNNNNNNNNNNNNNNNNNNNNNNNNNNNNNNNNNNNNNNNNNNNNNNNNNNNNNNNNNNNNNNNNNNNNNNNNNNNNNNNNNNNNNNNNNNNNNNNNNNNNNNNNNNNNNNNNNNNNNNNNNNNNNNNNNNNNNNNNNNNNNNNNNNNNNNNNNNNNNNNNNNNNNNNNNNNNNNNNNNNNNNNNNNNNNNNNNNNNNNNNNNNNNNNNNNNNNNNNNNNNNNNNNNNNNNNNNNNNNNNNNNNNNNNNNNNNNNNNNNNNNNNNNNNNNNNNNNNNNNNNNNNNNNNNNNNNNNNNNNNNNNNNNNNNNNNNNNNNNNNNNNNNNNNNNNNNNNNNNNNNNNNNNNNNNNNNNNNNNNNNNNNNNNNNNNNNNNNNNNNNNNNNNNNNNNNNNNNNNNNNNNNNNNNNNNNNNNNNNNNNNNNNNNNNNNNNNNNNNNNNNNNNNNNNNNNNNNNNNNNNNNNNNNNNNNNNNNNNNNNNNNNNNNNNNNNNNNNNNNNNNNNNNNNNNNNNNNNNNNNNNNNNNNNNNNNNNNNNNNNNNNNNNNNNNNNNNNNNNNNNNNNNNNNNNNNNNNNNNNNNNNNNNNNNNNNNNNNNNNNNNNNNNNNNNNNNNNNNNNNNNNNNNNNNNNNNNNNNNNNNNNNNNNNNNNNNNNNNNNNNNNNNNNNNNNNNNNNNNNNNNNNNNNNNNNNNNNNNNNNNNNNNNNNNNNNNNNNNNNNNNNNNNNNNNNNCAACGGCAGCUUUCAUGUCAUCAACAACUUCAAAACCCCUCGCCGAAUUAAUAUUUGGCCCAGCAAAUUUCUCGCUCACUAUGGUAGUAGUAUUGUCCAGCAAAAUCGAUGCAUCACAGCCCUGAAAUAACGUCAAAAACUCUUUCUGAUCAACUGCUGUUGUAUCGUUAAUUUAAUAAUUAGGUAGAUUCUUCUUAUCUUACGAUUAAGAAAAAUAAUGAAUAUUUGUGCAUUUUCUUUUUGGAUAAACAUACACAUAUAUACAAAUUUUCUUAUUGUAUAAUAAGUUUUUAAAACCAGGAUAUCCUCGUGACGUAAGCUUUUUCCGAGUUUAAUUGUGAUUAUUAGAAGUUAAGGAUAUAAGUGUAUGUAGUUAUAGUUCAAUCAUAUGCUACUAAUAAUAGGCAUGUUACACAAAAUUUUUAAAAAUACUAUGCAGAAUUCAGAUUAGGAGAGGACCUUAAUUCAUGUUUUAAAAUAUUAAUUGAAGAAGAAGAAAAAUUAAAGAGUAGAGAUUGAUUACAUUAACAAAACAGUCAUGGAAAUGAAGCCUGAUGAGGCUGGCACCGAUCCGGAUAUCGGACAAGAAAGCAUUCUUAAGCACCUCCCGAAUUAUGUUGGUUACAUUAGGGCAUGUGGAAGAAUAAAAAAAGGGAGAAAGUUGAGCUUGAGCUGGUGAUGAUCCCUCAAGCACAAAUGCAACUACAAGAGCAGCUGCAAGAAGAUAACGAAGAGAAGCCAUUUUGCAAUGAUGAGAAUGAGAGUUAUAUCUGCGCCUUCUAUAUACGCGCCUCUUUAUUUAUAGCCAACCAAAUUAAACAGGAGUAGAACUUGGCAACGACUAAGAAGUUUCACAUUAUAUUGUAAAAGUCUACUGUUUGAAAACAAUGGCUUAACUUAUAUGAUGAGAUAAUUACAUUAUCGAUUUUCUCCCUAAAGUUUGGUGAAAGCAUAUUUUUCUCCACAUAUUUUGAGGUGGUAAUGAUAAUUUAUUAAUUGCAUCUCAGUAUUCUAGAAGUAUGUCAAGUGUAGCUCGGUUGAUUGUGAAUGCAUUUUGUAUCUGUGAUCACCCAAGUUCUAAUAAUAAUAUGGGGCAAAGGUGGUUGUUUAGUGGAUGGGAUUUCUUGUCCCCAUAAGAGCUUUUUCUUUCUUUUUUCUUAUUAAACAAAAGAAAAGGCCAUACAACAUGGAUAUUAGAAAGGGACAAAACUCUUGUGCAACUGUUGUACCGUGUCACUAAUUUGUCUCUUAUCUUUUGACCCCUACUUUAUUUUUUAUUUAUAAGUUAUUUAUAAAUUUAUCAUAAAUUUAUUUUUUCUCUUUUCCUCUAUUUAUAUUAAGAUAUUCUAUACAUUUUUUCUCCACUUAGAUAAUUAAUUAAUCAUUAGUCAGCAACUCGGCAACUCCUUUCAAAUUAAAGUAUUAUUAACUAGCCGACUACCUCAAUUAUUUUUCACAUCACAACUAAGACAAAAUGCAAAAAUUUAAUUUGAAUAUUUGAAUGGCAAUUGUGAGGUCAUGGCAAUUGAAUAAAUUAAAAUAAUAAAUCAAAUCUAUCGGUUAUAAGUGAUUGAUGUCAUAUUGAUUUAUAUCUAUAAAUAAAGUUUGAGUUUUAUUAUUUUUGAAUAACUAAUAACUUUCAAAUUAAAUUUUAUUGUAGUUAUUUAUAGUUUUACAUCUAUAAAUAACUAAUAACUUUCAAAUUAAAUUUUAUUGUAGUUAUUUUUUUAUUUAAAGUCCAGUAUGCAUAUAAUUUAAAGUGGCGAUCAAAGUGUAAGGAAAGAAAAUAAUACAUUGUUUUUAUAAUUAUUUAUUUAAUAUUUUAUUUUAGUAAUGUCAUGUUAGUUUUAUUUUUAAGCUAAUUUAUUAAUUGAAUUUUAAUGUGAAGUCAUUACUUAUCUCAUUCCUUAAAUAAAAAAAAUAGAAUUAGAUAUUGAUGUUUAGUUUUAUGUCUGACUUUUUUUAACUUGAGAUAACUUACCCAUUUUUUAAUUGUUUAAAUUAUUCACAAAAAAAAAAUCUGUGAGGAUAUUUCCACUGAGCUUUUUAUGUAACAACACCCUAUCUUUUUAUAUUUUUAUAAUUAUGAUUUUAUAAAUAAAUUAUUCGUAACUCGUGCACUUAUCCUUAAAUCAUAUAUGUUUAACCAAAGAGAAUGAACAGGAAUUUUCUACGAAAGAAUUAGAUUUGUUAGUUUAAAAAUAGACAAUAUUUAUCUUCUUCCUUUCCUUAUAUCUUUCAAGGAAUAAUACGCUGAAUUGUGAGUAUAUAGUUUUGUGGAUGGAAAAUUAGGAUGAACAUUCAAUUUCAAUUUUAAAAUUUUGUUUAUAUACUGCUGAGCUGAUUUCGUAACUGAUGAAAAAUUUGUGUUAUUAGGCAAGAAAAGUUUAAGAUUUUGCAGUUAAAAUUUAUUUGUUUAUUUGUUUAUUUGUUUAUUAUUACUAGUAUUUUCUGUUAUGUAUGUACAUGUUCUCCCCAGAAUGCAUUUUGAUUCAGAAACUACUGUCUGUGCAAUUAGAUGCUGCAAUGUAUGUCAUUUAUAUAUGGAAAUGUCCCUCUUUUAAUUAAAAUGAUUUAUGGCAUGGCAAUAUUGGCAGAAUCGUUUAUGCAUGUCCAUUUUGUUGCCAUUGAAACUUUAUUGAGCUACAAAGCAAGAAGUGUUUUUUGGCCAAACUUUGUGCCAAAAAAAAAAAAAACCGCAAUUGGCCCCUAUUGCAAUUUUCUGGUGACUAAGGGUGAGAAAUUAAAGAAGAAUAAUUCCCCCUUUGUAAUAUCCAAAAUUUCAUUUGUUUGUAAAAAAAAAAUAAUAAUAAUAAUAAAUAAAUCAGCUUAAAUUCUGGUCGACUUAAUUAGGGUUGAAGAAUUCAACUUUGAUAAACGAUAACCUUGGAUUUAGUCCAUGCCAUCGCCCUGCGAAUGUGGACUGUAGGAGGCGUGUGGAUUCCACAUACUCGAAAGUCGAAACCUUUCAUUUCAAGCUUGUAGACUUUUUUCCUUUUUCUUUAUAUUGAAUUAUCAUUUUUGUCAGUUUAUGCAUAAAUAAUUGAUUGAGACACACGGACCGUUGCAGGAGAGAAGAAAAGUUGCUAGAAAUUAGCUGACACAAGGCCAGUUUGCACUGAACUGUUACAUACAGAGUAUGUAACGUAGCUUUGUCCACACCGACAGUACACAAGUAGAGUCAAAUAAUUAAUUACGUGACGUGACGGAUGACAUUUUGAAAAUGAUAUGUUUUUGCUUUUUUUUUUUUUUGAGAAUGGUAUGCUGCUAAUUUUUUUCGUAUUUGUUUUCAAAAAUGAAAAUUGAUGUUUUUUUGUGAUUUCAAAUCUCGCCUCUGAUAAAGUAUUUUAAAAAUUGUAAUCUAAAUAAAUAAAUACCAAACUGGCUUUUGAUUCCCGGACCUUUUAUUUUAAGUUAAGAGAAUUACUAAUUGAACUGAUUUGAACGCACAAUCUAAAGAAUUUUUCAAUAAAGAAAUAUGUUUAAUAUAAUAUUUGAAGAAAGAAAAUGUUACGCAACAAGUACAAAAUCGUAAAAGCAACAUUAAUUUGUGCUGCUUAAGCUUUCAACUUUUCUUCAAGAAAGUAAAAAGUAAAAAGUAAAAACACCAUUUCUGUCGCUUUCCAUAAAUCCUUCAUCAACUCACCGAAUUUUAUUCUGGCCUUAUUCUAUCUCUCCUUUUUAAUUUGAGUAAUGAUACAGUUAUAAACUCUUGUACAAACUUAUUUUAUACAAAUUGAUGUGGCAUGAUAAGAUUGGUUGAAUUAAAUAUCACUUGGCCCACAUGAUUUGUUUUUAUUAAUUUAUAUUUUCAUUCAACCAAUGAAUUAAUGCCACGUCAGUUUAUAUAAAAUAAGUUUAUACAAAAAUUUGUGGCUGUAUCAUUACUCUUUUUAUUUUCCUAUUUAAAUGGAAAAUGGUGUUUAGUUUGGUGACGAGGACAAUAUCUAAUAUCUGCCAAAAAUAGAAAAAUUAUCCCAAAACUACUUUGAAAGAACUUUGGGAUAAUUAAUUAUAUGUAAUUGAUCAAUUUUCACAUCUUAAAUUUUAAAACUCAUAAAAAGUCAAACUCAUAUAUAAGUGAGUUUAGACUAUCAUUUUAUGUGAUAAGAACUAAAAGAAAAUGUUCAACUUACACAUGACAAUGAGUGAUGGGGAUAAGAGCAUAUUUCACGGCUUAUCUGUAGCUAAUAAAAUUAUAGCGUUUUUCAUGCUCUUGUACAUGGAGACUCAUUAAUAUUUUGAAUUCACUUGUAUGAACAAAUCUGAAUUAUCUUUACCUUUCCAUAAUGAAUACUCCUAAUUAAAACAAGAGCGAAAAAGAAAAGAACAUAAAAAUUGUAUUUUCUUACUAAAACUUCAAAAAUUUCUUGGAAAUAGUUAAAAUGAUCAAAUACAUUUGAGUAGAGCUGGCAAAACGGGUCAUCGGGUCGUGUUCGUGUCGUGUCAGCUUCGUGUCGUGUCAAAUUUAGGUCGACCCAAACCCGACCCAUUUAAUAAUCGUGUCAAAAUAUUGAGACCCAAACCCGACACGGAAAAAUAAUCGGGUUACCCAAUAACCCGUUUAAUAUCUAUAUAUUGAACAAAAGUUAUAUCAAAUAUUUACACACUAUCAUACAUACGUGUGUGCAUAAAUACAUAAAUACAUACAUACAUACAUAAUUUAUCGAUAUUAUAAAAUAUACAUAUCUACCAAUAUAUUACACAUGUACACUAUUGAGGUUUUAAUUUUAUAUAUAUAUAUAUAUAUAAUAUUAUAUAUCAAUAUUAUAAAAUAUACAUGUCUAUCAAUUUUUACACAUUUACACUAUUGAAACUCUAAAUGUAUGUAAAAUUUUAUAAAUAAAACAUUGUGUUUAUAUUCACCCUUUUAAAGAAUAAAAAAAAGAAAAUCAUCUCUAAUAUUUGAGUUUUAAUUAUAAGAAUAUGUAAAUUAUUUUAAAAUAGAAAAUAUAAUCGGGUCAUUGAUCGGGUAAAUGGGUCAAGAAUUUUAACCCAAACCCGACACGGAAAAAAAUCGUGUUGACCCGGACCCGACCCAUUUAAUAAUCGUGUUAAAUUUGACGACCCAUACCCAUUUAUUUAUGUCGUGUUCGUGUCGGGUAAUCGGGUCGUGUCAAAUUUUGCCAGCUCUACAUUUGAGGCAUCAAACAACAAACUUCGACCAUAAUCGGAUUGAUUUUGCAAUUAAACACAACGGAUUUUGUUUCUAUAUAUCACCGAAAGUUCAAAGACUUAACAUAUUAUAUGAGUAUUGUAACUCAAUUAGUUAUUCCCCCACAAAAUACAUGUCCUACGUACAUCAAGAUUUUAUUUCCCUUGGUCCUGUCCUUGAAUUUUGUACUGAGCUUAAAAAUGGUUUUUAAUUUUUCCUUUUGUUUCGAAACUCUCACCUCCUGCUCUUAUUAUUAUUAUUAUUAUUAUUAUUAUUAUUAUUAUUAUUAUUAUUAUUAUUCAGCCUUCUGGUACGUAACUAAGACCAAAAAUGUCUGUGACUCUGUGGUAUCAUUAUUUGCAGUUUAAUUAUAUUUAAAAUGAGACGAUUGAAUGACGCGUGUUCAUGAAGUGUAUAUAAUAUAAUAUGAAUAUGAUUACGACAUUACCUGAAAUUUAAGGAACUGAUAAGAACAUAAUCUGUUUAAAUAAUAUUGUAUGGAAGAUUUCCGAUUAUAAUUUAAAAUAUAUGUUUCUUUCAAUCUUUCUCUAUAAUUCAUUGUUCAUAUGACCCUACGUCAAGAAAAUAAAAUACAGAAUAUCUAAUAUCUCUAUCUAUAGGCAAACAAUUUCAAGAUUUUCUGGUUAACUUGUUAUACAAAGCGUUGAGAUGUGAGUAAAUUAGGGUAAAAAUUUAUUUAGUCAUUGUAUUUUAAGAUUAGUAUUCAUUUAGUCCCUAUAUUUUAAAAAUGUCUUGAAACAUCCCUGCCGUUACUUUUUAUUUCUUUUGGCUUACUUUUACAAUAUUACCCUUUUAUAAUAAUUUUUUUAUUUGGACAUUAAUAAAAAAUAAUUAAAUUAUCAAUUUAACCCUAAAAAUUAUAUUAAUUUUUAAUUAUCAAAAAUUGUAUGCAAACUACCAAGUGUGCAAAUGGUGCUUGCAAAAAAAUUAAUAUAAUUUUUUUAUAUAAUUUUUUAGAUUACAAUUAUUGUGCUAAUAUUCCUAAAUGAUCUUAAAACUAAAAAUUUGUCGAAUGACAAGAUCUUAGUUAGAUGUUUAUUUGUCAAUAAAUUAGUUAACCUGUUUUGUAAUCUGAUGACUAAGCUGUAUAUCUUUUGCUCACUCAAAUACAGGCAAAUCUUCAAUGCUUGGAAACUCUUAUUAAUAAAGAAAUGCAAAUAGCUCUUCUCAAAUUAAAUAAAGACCAAUUACCCGACAAUGCUUACUAUUUUCUUAAAGUGACUUGAUUGUGCUAAUAAAGUUAUGUGGGGAGAAAGAUAUCUAUAUGCCUAUCUGGAUGCAUGCGCCUGGUUGGAUAAGAAAAUGAUAGAAAUUAAAUGCCAAAGAAGUAGAUGAUGCAAAUUAAGUGGAUUUAUUGUUGAUAAUUGUAUGAGUUGACUAGCCCAUUUUACACGUGGAAAGUGGCUUCGAUUGGUGCAUGCAUGAGAUUUGUUUGAUUUUCCUGAUUUUAGAUGAUGAUUUCAAUCAUUCAGUUUGAAUUUAAAAUUUCAAUAAGUUAGAAAUAACGAUGCGGCACGGUAUAUGCGUGGAAUAUAUCUCCCUUUGGCCCUUUACUUUUUCAUGAUUUCAAUUAAUCAAUCUUGUAAUUUAUUUAUAUCUUUAUGUGAAGCAAGUGUACAAGGUACAUAUAUUUUAAGAAUUUUAAAAAGGUAAGUGACAAACAUAUUUUUAAAAUUUAAUUUUGAUAAUAAAUUUCAUCCUUAAUGCAAUUCUACCUAAGUAGUUUUGUAUGAUUCACUUUUAAAUUCCAACAAGAACAUCUAAUUACCUACUUCAAGUGAAAAGUGCGUUGAGUGAAUUUCAACAUAAAUAAGGUUGGUUUGAAUAAUUUUUAAAAAUUCAUAAGCUAAUUGCAUAAUUAGCCGAAACCUAAAAGACUAAAUUUAAAUUAUGUAAUUCUCGCUUUGUACAAUAUAUAAAACCUAAGUACUAACUCUUGGAGGGAAUUAACAUGCUUCGAAUAAAAUCAUUUUGAUAUCUCUUUUAAUUCACUGUGCAAAAGCUUGGAUAGACUUUGUUACUGUUUAUCGAAUUUGAGUGAUAAUAGUAACUACGUACCUAAUGAUUAUUUCAUUUAACAUGGCAAUGAGCUGUUCCAAGAGAUUUAAUGCCCAUUCAGUAUUGCUGGAUCACCUUUUGUGAUGAUCAAUAUCCCUCUUUACUACUUUAAAAGCCAUCAAUGAUCAAGAUGUUGAAAUAUGGGCGAGGAAAGAGAGGAUUUGGAACAAACUAUUAUCCAUUAAUCUCAACGGAAACAUGAUAUUAUAUGAACCACACUUGGACUUAGAAAGAAUGAUUUUGUUGUUGUUGUUGGUAAAAUCAGGCUCUCCAAGUGAACAACUGCUGUUGUAUUAUCCUGAUAAGUGGUACCCAAGAAUUGAGAGAUCUUGGACUAAUAAGUGUUUUUCUUUUUCGAUUUAUAAAUUUAAAGAGAGUCUAAUUUCUGUCAAGGGAGAAGAUCCAUGUGUUAAGAAUUAAGUGUUGAUUCAUCAUCGCUGAGCUGUCAUAGUAUCGUUGCUGAAUAACCAUGUUGGAAGGUCGUUAUGCAUACUAUUGAGAGUUGUUAGUUUCCUUCCAAAAGUUUUUUAUGUAUGGUUGGAUGUGAGCACACGAGUUUGUUGCUUUCAGAAGAUUCUACACACAACUAUAUAAACAAUAUUGUAAUCUCAAAUUACAAUAUGUAGAAUGAAUAUUUUUUUAUUUCUAAUUUCUCUCAAUUAAUAAUUUUUCUCUUUAUUUUCUAUGUAAACAAACAGAAUUCUCAAAAAAUAUUUCACUUUAACUUGGUAUCGGAGAUCAAUCUAAUGGCCUUAACAUGUUCCAAUCAACAACCUAAUGGCACUACCAUAACCUCUUUCACCUUUACAAAUCCAAUCAAGCUUGAUUUCAAGAGCUACACAACUUGGAAACAACAAAUACUCUCUUCAAUUCGUGGUAAUGGUCUCGAAGGCUACAUCAAUGGAUCAAGGCUAUGUCCUGAUCAAUUUCUUCCACCAAGAUAUGGAUAUGAAGGUUCUUAUUCAAAUAUUGAAGGUCAAGAAAAUCCAGAAUAUACAACAUGAAAAUGUCAAGAUCAACUCUUACUUAGCUGGAUCAUAUCAUCCAUGAGUGUUGAUAUCUUCAGUGUUGUGGUCAUUUCUAAGAUUUCCUUUAAGUUGUGGAAAAUCUUGAAAAACAAUUUGGAUCUAAAUCCAUAGCCAAAAAAAGUUCAUCUAAAAAUGCUUCUAAGCAAUCUGCAAAAAAGAUCCUUAACAAUGUCAGAAUAUUUCACAAAGCUUAAAACAAUUACUGAUGGCCCAGCCUGCCCUGUGAGUUAUUAGGAUCUGAUUACUCAUCUCAUUUUUUAUUUAGAUCGGUCAUGUUAUCUUGUGGUUGUUUACAUUGAGGCAAACAUGUUAACUAUGGAUCUUAGUGAAGCAUAUACUAUGCUUCUCACACAUGAGGCUAGACUGGACAAUAGUAAGCUUCAUGACAACAAAGAAAUUAAGAAUAACUAUGCAGUCAAUAUAGCUCAAGUUGGAAAUUUUUCAAAGAAAGGUAAUAAUAAUGCUCAAAAUAAUUGGAACAAGGCUGAGGGAAAUAAUUAGAACACUAAUUCUGGUGGAAGAGCUGGCUUUGAUGGUAAUGGAAGAUGAGGUUACCAGGGACCAAAUCGAGGAAAAUGAAAUUAGAAUAAUAACUUCAGAGGAUUUACUGGUGGUUUUAACAAUGGAUUUCCUAGUGACUUCAAUAACAACUAUGGCAGAGGUGGAUUUAACUCAAGAGGUUCUGAAAAGGUUUUGUUUAAGGAGGUGUUGCUUGUCAAAUUUGCUUCAGGUUUAACCACACAGCAGCUGAGUGUAGAGACAUGUUCAACAAGAAUUUUGUCCCAAAUUUGCCUGCUCCAAGUCAUUUUUUCAAUCAAAAUCAAGGAUCAAGGGCAGCUUUUAUGACUACAUCUGAAUGAGUUACUAAUCAAGGAUGGUAUCUAAAUAGUGGAACAACUCACCACUUAACUAAUACAGUUCAGAAUUUGAAUGAUGGUAAGAUCUUUUUUAGCUCAAAUUUACUAAUUAUUGGUAAUGGUCAAAGUCUUCAAAUUACUCACAUAGGUUAUACAUGUCUCUAUACUUUUUUUGGUACUUGUUUACAUCUGCAUAAUGUCAUGUAUGCCUCCAAAAUUACCAAGAACCUCAUUAAUGUUUCCAAACUUCUCGUGAUAAUGAUAUUACCAUUGAAUUUUUCUCUGAUAUUUAUUUCCUAAAAGACAAUGUGAAUGACACUCUGUUGGCUCAGGGGAUUGCUAAAGAUGGUCUGUAUAAGCUACUGUCAUAAGAGAAACUUAUAUCUUCUUCUUCUAUGCAAGUGUUUUAACCUAGUUCUAUAAUGUCAAUUUUCUCUUUCAAUGAUGAUGUCACUUCUGUUCAAGCCUUUAAUAGUGACUUAUAUUUCUGUUUAGAGUCCAAAUCUCCCAUAAGUUUUCACACUUAGGUUAUGUGUUAGCAAAUAUAUUGCAUAAUAGGCUUGGUCAUCCAAGCAAACAUGUUAUAUAAACUAUUUUAAAGAAUAAUUAUUUGCUGUCUGCUCAUGUUGAUAAAUCAAUCCUUUAGUUUUGUGAUGUUUGUCAGCUUGAAAAAUUACAUCAAUUACAUUUUUUAGUUACUAAAAUCAAAACAAAAUGUCCUUUAGAAUUGAUUCACACAGACUUACAUGGACUAGCUAUGUUCUGUCCAUGGAUGGUUAUAGAUAUUAUAUCUCUUUUGUUGAUGAUUUCACUAGGUAUUGUUGGAUUUUUCCUUUAGUUUUGAAGUCUGAUGCUCUUACUACAUUCAAACACUUUAAAUGCUUGAUUGGAAAAAAAUUCAAUCUUUCUAUUAAAGCUUUACAGUUUGAUAUGAGAGGUGAAUUUAAAAUUCUUUCAGUCUUUUCUUCAACCAAAAGACAUCUAAGCUAGAUUUAGUUGUCCUCACACACAUCACCAAAAUGGUGUUGUUGAGAAAAAGUAUAGACACAUAGUUGAAACUAGUUUAACCCUUCUUACCCAAGCUAAAAUGCAUGUUUCUUUCUGAUGGGAGGCUUUUCAAACAAUCUCUUAUCUCAUUAAUAGAAUGCCAACCUCUAUUCUCAAUAAUUUAUCUCCUUAUCGAAAACUUCAUUACCAAUCACCAAAUUAUCAGCUUCAUAGAAUGUUUGACUGUGCUUGUUACCAUUUUCUUAAACUUUACAAUCAAUACAAGCUUGAAUUUUACUCCAAAAAAUGUUUGUUCUUACGUUACAGCCCUCUUUAUAGGGGCUAUAAAUGUCUAGUCAAAUCUGGCAAAGUUUAUAUUUGCAGCUCAUGUCAUUUUUAAUGAGUUUGAUUUUCCAUAUUUUGAAUUAUUUUCAUCCUCUUCAUCUUCUUCUGAGUCCUUCCUAAUUUACUCUCCAUCAAUUUUCAUUUUCAAUGAUAGUGGCUUCAAUCAUUCGUCAGUUAUACCUCCUACCUCAGUAGUGUUACCAUCACCAUUCUUUCCACAUUUACCUCAACAAGUUCUAUAUUUUCCUUCUUAAACCUCUAAUUCCUCAUCCCUUCAUUAUGUAUCCAAUUCACCUGUAUCACAACCACCAUCUCAACUAGUAAUCCCAACUUAUCUAAUAAUUACUUGAGCCAAAUCUAGCAUUUUCAAGCCAAAAACCUAUUUUACAGCUACACAGACCAUGAGCCAGUGAGUGUUAAAAUUGCUUUAGCUGACAAGAAGUGGCAUAUGGCUAUGCAAGAUAAGUAUAAUGCUUUGUAGAGAAAUGGUACUUGGACAUUGGUUUCAGUUGAGAUAGCCACCAAACUUGUUGGAAAUAAGUGGAUUUUUCAAGUUAAAUACAACCCAGAUGACGGCAUUUCAAAGUAUAAAGCUCGACUAGUUGUAAAAGGGCUUCAUCAAACUUUUGGAGUAGAUUUCUUUGAGACAUUCAGUCCUGUUGUAAAACCUUGCAUUGUUCCAGUUGUUCUCAACUUAGCAGUCAUGAAUUAUUGGUCUAUAGCAAUUAGAUGUCGACAAUGCUUUUCUCAAUGGCUUACAUAUUGAAUAUGUGCUCAUGCUUCAGCUAGAAGGCUUUAUUAAUCCUCAAUUUCUCAAUCAUAUCUGCAAGUUGAAUAAAGCCAUUUAUGACCUUAAACAAGCCCCUAGGGCUUGGUAUGACAUAUUAAAAGGAUCUCUAAUUUAGUAAGGAUUCAGGUCUUCCAAGUCAGAUACUUCAUUAUUUUUCAAGCAUAUUAGAUGUGAUAUUUUAAUCAUUCUUGUCUAUGUGGAUGAUAUUCUAAUAACAGGUUCAAGCAAUGCUCAGAUAACAUGGGUUAUUAAUUAGCUUGGAUAAGAAUUUGCUCUCAAAGACUUGGGGGAUUUCAAUUAUUUUCUUGGAUUGGAAGUGACUCCAUCUAUUGAUGGCUUACAUAUAUCUCAAACUAAGUUUGUUAGUGAUAUCUUAAGGAAAGCUCACAUACUUGACAGUAAAGGUUGUAACACACCUAUAUGUGUUGCUAAUAAAUUGCAAAAAAAUAAAGGUUGUUUGUUUAAAAAUCAUUCACUUUACAAAAGCAUUGAUGGUUCUCUACAAUAUUUAACACUGAUCAGUCCAGAUAUUGCAUUUACAGUCAAUAAGUUAAGCCAAUUUUUGGUUGCUCCAACUACUUUAUACUGGCAGGCCUAUAAAAGAGUGUUGAGAUAUAUGCGAAGUAUAGCACAUUUUGGACUUCAGUUCUUCAACUCAGGUUCUCUAACCUUGACAGCCUAUUUUGAUGCAGAUUGGGGGUUUGAUCUAAAUGACAGAAGAUCUAUUGGAGGAUAUUGUGUUGAUCUUGGAACUAAUCUUGUGUCAUGAUCAUCUAAGAAACAAAAUACUGUCUCUAGAUCAACUGUUGAAUCCGAAUAUAGAGCUUUAACAUUAGCCACAUCUAAAAUUUUGUGGACCAAUUAUCUAUUGAAGGAACUCAAAGUAUCACCCAACAAGCCUCAUGUUCUUCAUUGUGGUAAUAAAAGUGCAGAAGCUUUAGACAACAAUCUUAAAUAUCAUUCUAGAACUAAACAUAUAGAAUUGGAUCUUCAUUUUGUUAGGGAACACGUUGCCAAUAAGGAAUUGGUCAUUGAACAUGUAUCCAGAUCUGAUCAAUUAACUGAUGUGCUUACAAAGCCUCUUAGUUUUGAUCAUUUUGCUUAUAUGAGAACUAAGCUCAAUGUCUGUUCAAGACCUUGAGCUUACAGGGGAAUGUUAAGAAUUAAGUGCCGAUUCAUCAUAGCUGAGCUGUCAUUAUAUCAUUGCUAAAUAUCCAUGCACAUUGGAAGGUCAUUUUGCAUAUUGUUAAGAGCUAUAGUUUCCCUCUAGAAGUUUGUUAUGUAUAAGUGGAUGUGAGCACAUGAGUUUGUUGCUUUCAGAAGAUUUUACACACAACCAUAUGAACAACAUUGUAAUCUCAAAUUACAUUAUGUAGAAUGAAUAUUUUUUGGUUUCUAAUUUCUCUCAAUCAAUAAAUUUUCACUCUGUUUUCUAAGUAAACAAACAGAAUUAUUAGAACAUAAUCAAAUAGACAGAUGAGGAUUUUGACAUGAUAUGAGAAAAGUUAUAUCCGCUCUCCAGUGAUUAUAGGGGUGCUUUGCUCUUCAUGAUGUCAAGAUUUCAAAGAAAUGAAUCAAAUAAUAACCAAUUUGGCAUCGUUAAUCCUUGACUUGUAUCAAAUUUUUGUGAAUUUCAAUUUAUCAAUAGUUGUUUUGUAAGUUGAUCGAACACAUCCGUUGUUUAAAUUUGUAUUAACGAACAUGAAGGCGAUAGUUACGCUUAAUUAACACUUUUUCUUUGCCUUUCUUUUUAAUGUUACCCAAUGUGCAGCUGAAAACUCUUUUCAAGUCGGUUUGCCAAACGGAAUAAGCUACCCGAAAGCCGAAUACAAGAAGGCAAUAAAAGUUUAUAAUAUUAACCUGAACUAAUGUGACGAUUUUCUGUAGAAGUCGCAUCAAGUCAAACAUACUUUAACAUAUAUUAAUAACAUAUUAACUUGAUGUCACAGAUUCAGGGUUCCUUACAUUGCUAAAUUAAAAAUGGUUAUAAGGAUCUUUUAGAAGUAGUAAUUACAUGCGUGGAUGCCCAAACGAAGUAAGAAAUUUCAAUCCAUGGCAGCAAUACAAAAAUGAUGGGAAGAGAUGAAAAUGUGAACCAUCAACUUAUCCGACCCAAUUAAGGGACUGUCUCCUCUGACGAAGUAAAAAAUAAUCCGAUUUUGGUGCCAUUAAGAAUAUUGUAUAACUAGUUUUAGGAGUGGCAAUUUGGGUUAGGAUUUGUUUACUCUAUUUGAUUCGAUGCAAAUUAAAUGAGUUUGGAUUUGAAAAAAUUGUUUCGUUUAAUAAAUAAGUGAAUUCUAUUCAAUUCAUUAAUUAAAUGGAUCUAAUAUGGGUUUUAGAACAUUGAUUCAUUUAUUUGUUAAGGAUUCGUUUAGUAAAUGAGUUAUAAACGAAUCGAAUAUAAUCCAUUCGUUUAAAUUAAUUUAAUUAAAUUAUUUAUUUAUACUUAGUAUGAAAAAACCUUAAAGUUUGAAGGCUAAUAUAAUAAUUAUAAAUGAUAAUAAGUUUGUAUUUUGUAGGAUGUUAAAUUUAUGCUCUUUUUAUAUUUUAUUUUGUUUAAUUUUUGUUUAUUAAUUAUAUUUUUGUAAAUAAAUUCAUAUUCAAUUUAUUCCUUAUCGGAUAAACAAAUUGUAAAGGAAUCCAGAUUCGAUUUGAUUCGUUUAUUAAUUCUACUAAAUGAAUUAAACGAAUCGAAUCGAAUCGAAUCGAAUAUUUGUUUAAUAAAUGAAUUGAAUCCGAAUCCUAAGAUUUCUAUUUGUUUAAUGAAUGAAUCGAAUUCGAAUCAGCAAAAUUUUGACCCAAUUCGUUUACAAUUUGAUUUGAAUAUGACUCGUUUAUUCGUUUUGCCAACUCUAACUAGUUUAUUGUGUUUUUGAUUAAAUAUUACAUAAACUACACACUAUCAACGUUAUAUUGUACUUAUAAUUUUUUUAUUAUUUUACUUUAAGUGUACAACGUGUAAGUAAGCUAAUUUUCCCAGAUCUCUAUAUUGGGUUUUGAGUGUAAAAUGAUAAAAUGAUUUGACAUACAAAUACGGUUGGAAAAGUAUCAUAAUAAAUUACUAUUUUAAAGCAUAAUUUUGAGUGGACCUACUUUGUAUAAGUGAGAGGUAAUAAUAUGUACUUUUAUACUUAAAAUGAUGCUUGGGUGAAUAACAAUGCACAAAUUACACCAUUAAUUGCAUUGACUAAGAGUUGGAGUUACAAAAAAUUGUAGUAGCUAGUUAAAUUUAAAAUUAAUUACGAAAUUAAUUCCAGAAUAUAUCACUUGUAAUUGCCAAGUAAUUCAGAAUUUAUAAUAGGCAAUUAAAUUUAUAUUUUAAUAUGAGAUUAAAUCUCGAAUUUAAUAUGUGGUUAAUGAAGCCGCAUUUACAUUUUGAAUUUAAUUUAAGAAUGAAAUAAAAGGUUUAACGACAACAAUUAUACUUUUAAUUAGCUACUGUACCUAAUAAGAAAUUAAAUACAUCAGUUACAAAAUUUUAGCAGUCAAAUUUGUGGAUAAAAAUGCCUCUCAUACAAUUCUAUGAAUUGACAUUCUUCUUCACUUCAAGAAAAUGGCUAGGAAUAAUUUAAGAGAAAUAAGGAUAGAAGAAUAAGAAGACAAACUUCAAUACCUCCUUUGUCAAUGUCAUAUAUCAUCAAUGUCAUUUAUCCAAUUUCCAUAAAGUUUAGAGACAAUGGAACUUUUUUGUACAAUAACCUCUUAGUGCGCUAGAAUUAUUCAUUACCAUUGUCUCUUGGAAAAUAGGCACUGUUCAAAACCUAAAGCACUUAAUCUCUAGCGCCGAAUUUAUUUUAAUGAAGCUAUAAUAUUAUGCAGGUAGGGGAUGACNNNNNNNNNNNNNNNNNNNNNNNNNNNNNNNNNNNNNNNNNNNNNNNNNNNNNNNNNNNNNNNNNNNNNNNNNNNNNNNNNNNNNNNNNNNNNNNNNNNNUGGACAGUCUGAGGCUGGGCCGGACUGGAGCUUCCGUUAAAUUUUUAAAUAAAUUUUUAAUAAAGUUAAAAGUUAAAAAUAAAAUAUUUAAAAUAAUGAUUUUCUAAUAUAUAAUAGAUAAAUAGUCAAAUACAUAAAAUAACACAAUAUAAUAAACCACAAAUAAUAUUUAUAAAUUAUAUUCUUUUAAUUUAUAAAUUAUAAAGCUUGAGAAUUUUCCAUAAACCAUUAAUUAAGUUCAUUCACAUCUGACUUUAAAUUUUUUUACCCAUGUCUAUGGUAUCACAAAGCAAGCAGGGCCUAAAGCUUAUGACCCUAAGCUGGCCGACCCUAACUUUUUUACCCCACCCUACAUUGAGGUCUUGAUUUGCAUUCUAUUUUUAUAUCAUAUUUGAUUUGUUAUCUCAUUAUUGUAAUCACUAUUUUAACUGCUAUAUCACUGUUUUAACUGUAAUCAUUGUUAUUUGUAAAGUCCCAAUUUAUGAUUUGUAAUUUCAGAAUGCAUUCCUCCUAUUCCAUUGUAUUUCCCUUAUGAAUACUUGGAAAAAGAUAGAAGCUAUUGGACCAAAAAAUUAACACCAAAUCCGAAUUUUGUUACUAAGAUAUAAAAAUUCUCAGUUUCCUAUAGUUACAAAACCACCAUAUAUAAGUAGGAAUUUCAAGUCCCUAAAUGUCAAAAUUUGGUAAAAAUGCGAGGAUCAUCAUUACCAAGUACGCUGUGAUUUUAUUUUCAUUAGUUUGCCAAAAGCUUUGAAACAAUUUUUUUUUUUUGCCAAAAUAUGAAUCCGACGGCAUGAAACAAAGCACCCUUAUCAUAUUUUCUCAUAAGAGAAUCUUGGCCUGUUUCUUCGAUACAUCAUCUUCUUCCUUAAUUGAUAUUAGACUGAAUAGACUCUCUUCAAAUUUAUGAACUGACAAGUGAAAACUUCUUAGUCAAAUUCUCCAAGAUCUCUCAUUUUUCCCGAGGAUUAGGAUUGUAUAAGAGCAGUCGUGGAAUUGAAGAGUCGGGUUCUGAAAAAAUCCAAUUGGCAAAUAUUUGAUAUUAACGAAUAAAAGUUCGCCCCAAAUCCUCUCUUUCAUCACCUAUAUUUCAACAUUAUCAUUAAUGGUAUUAAAAAAUAAUAAAGAUAGAUUGUCAUCGUAUAUGUCAAGUGACACAGAAAGUAAAAAUAGGAGGAUAUUGAUAAAACAACAAUAUAAAAUAAACAAUGUUGAAUAAUAUAAAUGACAUUUUGAACAAAAAUCAUAAUUUUUUUUUUCAAUCUUCGGGCUUUGCGGUUUUGAUCUUGGUAUGGACUUAAGUCCACCCAAAUUGCUAAUCUAAGGAUGCAAUUCGUUAUAAGCUGAUCAUUUACAUCCUUCCGAGCACCGUGAGACAUUACAUAUCCUAAUUUCGUACAAAAAACAUUGGAUUAUGUGUUUCUAUUUAUAAGUGUGCAGGUUUUGUGUUUUCUGUGAUUUCUUGAAUAAGUAUGUAAUAAGACUGCAAUAAAAGAUUUUCCCAAUUUUACUUCUCAAUAUGUUCAUUAAUUGGAUCAAAUGAAAUCAUGCAUGAACUCUUAUGAUAACAUUUUUUGACCUACAUUUCUCAUUAUUGGUUUUGGCAGUCUCUUCUUUUAGCGAACACUGGCAACACAAAAAGAAAAUUAAAAAAGGGGGAAACUGUUAAAUUUGUAAUGGCCUAUUUGGUUAAUUUUAUGUAUUUACGUAACUUAUAUUACAGUAGUUUCUAAAUUAACAAGCCUGUCUGGUUAUAUUCAAGAAAAUUGAUGUACUUAGAUAAUUAAUACUAUAUGUAAAGUUACUAAUAUAACCUUUUCCUAGUGCGGUUCUGGUACGCGUUUCCUUUUCUUACUACAGUUUUAAUUUCAUUUAGGAAACUAGUUUCCUAUUCAAUUAGGGUAAUUGUUAUUACAUAAAAAUCUAAUGGGAAUAGGAAACUAUUUCCUAAUUCAAUACGGCAAGUUAUUGUCACAUUAUAAAUACCCGUGCAGAAAAAAAAAUUGGUUCCAUAUAUCGCACUGAAAAAAAAAUGGAGCAAUACGAAAAGAUCAGAAACUUAUGAUAUUUUUAAGGAAGAUGAAUAAUCAUCCCAACAUUGUCAAGUUGAGGAAUCUUGUCAAAGAACACGAAGACGUAUUCAUUGUGUUCGAUUACAUGGAAUCUGAUCUUCUAAAACUUAUGAAAGAAAGUGCGGGUCAAAAUUUCUCUGAAGAUGAAGCCAGAAACUUGUGUUUUCAAGUGUUUCAAGGUCUCCAUUACAUGCACCGACAGGGUUAUUUUCACCGUGACCUAAAGCCUUCCAACUUGCUUGUUUCGAAAGGUGUGAUCAAGAUAGGGGAUCUUGGAAUGGUGAAGGAAAUUGAUUCCAGUCUGCCGUGCACUGAUUACGUUACAACUCGCUGGUAUCGAGCUCCUGAAGUGUUGCUUUUAUCCGAGAUAUGUGGACCUGAAGUUGAUAGGUGGGCGAUGGGUGCUAUUAUGUUCGAGAUGUUGAGUUUCAGGAUUCUUUUUCCGGGAAAAAAUUCAGCUGAUCAAAUUUACAAAAUCUACGGCAGAUGGGUGGCGUGAAUCUAAGUGAGUUGUUACCAUCAGCUAGUCGAGAAUCCAUCAGCUUGAUUUCAUGGCUUUGUUCCUGGAAUCCACGCAUGAGGCCUACGGCUGCGGAAGCUUUGGAACAUCCUUUCUUCCGGAGCUGCCAUUUUGUUCCUCGAUCGGUGCCUCUUCUUUGCAAUAAUUUUGAAGCUGUUGCGUUUCCUACUGCCACAGUCACAAUGCAAGGACGUUCUUUGACAUAUUCUCAGGUACCGAAUGAUGGGCAAUUAUGUUCGUGCGUCAAAUGUGAGAUGCAAAGGACUAACCAUGAUCACAUGAUCAUCAACUCUGCCAAACCGGCAACCUCCGUGAUUUGUAAAACUGGUUACGCGACUAGAACUGAGAUGUUGGCUUCUCGCAUGCAACCGUUGCAGCAGCUGAUGAUGUCGAGGCCUCCCGGAUUUUGAAGAAAACGUUAAGGCUGGUUAUUGUAUUUGUACUUAGAAACCUAACUACGUACGUACUGAUUGUACUGUCGAAGAUUAUUCAAUGCAUUGAUAUUCAUCUCCUCAGCUUCCCUAGUGUCUUUUAUGUUGAAUUCAAUGAGUGUAAGUCCAUGACCAUUUUUUUUUUUAAAGUUAUGGUCAAAUGUGAGAUGCAAAGGACUAAUAAUGAUGAUCAUAUGAUCAUCAACUCUUCCAAUCCAGCAACCUCCAUGAUGCAUAAAACUGUUUAUACAGCUACAACUAAGAUGUUGGCUUCUCGGAUGCAGCCAUUGCAGCAGCCGAUGUCGAGGCCUCCUGGAUUUUGAAGAAAAUGUGAUGGCCGAUUACUGUAUUUGUUAUCAAAAAACCUAGCUACGUACGUAGUAUCUCUGUUGUGGAUAUUUUAAUAGCUUCAUUCAUUCAAGUAAGCAAAAAUUACUCAAUACUGUCAUUUUUUCGAAUAAUUUGAUACCACUGGCCCUAGAAAGGACAUUAACGGGUAUUCAAUGCACUGUCAUCUUCUCAAAUUAGCUAUUGUCCUAUACAUUGAUUUCACCGAGUGUAAGUCCAUUUUUUUUUUAAAUUGAAAAAAUAUUAUUUAGAAGAUAAAAGAGUGCAUGAGAGUGAUAAAAGUUACGACAAAUGAAAAUUAGGAACACCAAAAUUCUAGAAGAAGAGGCUUCUGAAUUGAAUGGGGAGGUAGAUUCCACAGUGGAAAAAUGAUAACUAAGACUAUCGUUAGUUAAAGUAUCCCCCACUUUGUUACCUUCACGAUAAAUAUGUGAUAAAUUAUUAUAUUAAGCGAAGCAAGUAAAGGCAAUUAAACCAACUAGUGUGGAGUUUCCAUGGAAGAGAGUAGCCAAAAUUCUGAAUACAUUGAGUCAUAGACAUGGCGUCACAUUAAUCCGAAGUUUAUGCCAACCCCUUAACCAUGCUUGUCCAAUAGCAAGAAUAACUACCAUAAAUUCAGCAUAAAAAGAGGAUUCAUGACCAACGAACGUAGAACUGCCAAGGAAGGUUCCAUGAUGAUCUCUAGAAAUUCCCUCACAAGCAGAUAACCUAGGAAUAUUAUUCUACUGUUGACCUUUAUCAAAGUUGGAGGGGACACCAUAUCACUGUAGCUAUUUUCGAAGCUUUUCCAAAGCAUGGAUCAUUACCCAACCGGGCAAAAAUUGCCAAAUCACGAAAGUGUGCAAGAGUACUCCCUAGGCAAGAUUGACAAAGAGUAAAUAUUAAAUUUUUACAGUAAGCUAUGGCAUUAUGAAAAGGGAGAGUUGCAUCUUGAAAUCAAAUAUAUUCAUUUUUCGUUUUUAAAUUAUAGCUUAAUGGCAACCCAGAUAGCUCCACGUGAGUGGAUUCAAACCCCAAAUCUAUUAUUUCAAAUCAAAAGAUUAAAAUUCACCAAUUGAUCAACUAUAUAUCUGGCGUCUAACUAUGACCAACCUCAAUUAACGGACGUCCAUCAACUAGAUUAAUUCUCAAAAACCUGCUACUUUCUAGUGUGUGGAAGAAACAAAGUUCUCAAAGAAGAUAACUUCACAAUACAUACAACUCCUUGCUAACUCAAAUUUAAGCCAACGCCAUGUUUGAUGAAAAUUUAUGGUUGCGGGUUGUGAUUCCAUUUAUGCCAUAAGAAAAUCAAAAGGGUAUGUUUUCGAAUUAUGAUUGCAAAAUUCCAAUCAAAAGGGAAAAGUUUUGGCAUGGACCAAAAGUUUUUUUCCAUUCAUUUCUUAUCACAUUUAUAUUUCAACUAACUAUAAUAAUAUAUAUACACUUAAUAAAUAAUAAAUAAAUAAAAUGUAAUAUUUAAAUAUAUUUUGGAUAGACCACUCGGUCUUUGGCCGAGUGAUGGAUUACUUACUCUCACAUUUGUAAACAUUUGUGAGAGCACCAGUUUGAGAUCUCAAGGGCUCUCCCUUAAUUAAGUAUGAUUGAUUGGAGUCAAUUGUAACUUUCUCUUUUGUAAAUUUUAAGUGAAGUGGACGACCCUCUAAUAUCCCUCGAAUAAUUGUGAAGGUAGACAAUUUGGUGGAGCGGACAACCCUAAGAUAUAUGUGAAGAUAGACAAUCUGAAAAAGUAUUUUAUAAAAUUUAAUGUACGUAAAGUUAUAGUUUCACUAUGUAAUUAUAAUAUCUGAUUGUAUUAUUAGUAUUAAAAAAAAAAACUCUUCUGGAUAGAUAUUAAACCUUUCAAAACCUUUACAUACCAAAUAAAGAGUAAACUGAUUUGAGCUCUUGUCCGGUAGCUCCAAAUAUUUUUCAUGCUUGAAACAAUGUUGAGCUGGAAUAUGUUUUUGAUUACCAAAGCUUAAUCACUUUGAACAUUACAACUGAAGAGCAUAGAGGAUUUGUCAUAAUUGAAUAAUUUUCCAGAGGUUGUAGUGUAGCAAUUAAAAAUUCUUUUCAAAUUUUGACAAUCUGUAGCUGAUGCCCUAGUGAAUACAAGACUGUCAUCCACAAAAAGAAUGUGAGAGAUUUUAGUGCCAUUGCCAAAUGACAGCCCAUGAAUGAGCUUCUACUGUUCAGCCCACACCAGCAAAGAAGAAAAAGCCUCUGCACAUAUGAUCAAAAGGUAUGGAGAUAGCAGACAUAUUUUCCUUAGCCCACGCUGAGGUUUGAUUAGUCCGCUAAUCAUACCAUUUAUAAUUACAGAAAAAGAAGCAAAGCUUAUACACCUCAUGACCAAUCGUACAUAAUUUUGAAAAAAACCUAGCUCCAACAUGGUUUGCUCAAGAAAAUUCCAUUCUAAUCUAUCGUAGGCUUUACUAAUAUUGAGCUUUAUAGCCACAAGGCUAUUUCUUUUCCCCUUACCGUGUCUUAUUUUAUAGGAGCAUUUGUGACCUACAGUGAUAUUGACGGUUAUCAGCCUAUUAGGGAUGAAAGCACUUUGCAUUGGGGAUAUGAUUUUGGACAGGGUUUGUUUAAGCCUUUUUACUAUUGUCUUAGCAACAAUUUUAUAGAUAACGUUACAAAGACUAAUAGGCCUAAAAUCAGUGACUUUUAUAGGUUUUCCAAUCUUAGGAAUUAGAGCAAUAUAUGCAUGAUUGAGAGGGCCUAUAGUACCUUGCUUGUUGAGGAUGUGGAGGCAAGUAGUGAUAACUCCGGAUUUAAUCGUUUGCCAAUGUUUUUGGUAAAAGACUGCUAGCAAUCCAUCAGGCCUUGGAGUCUUCGUUGGACACAUCUGUGAUAAGGCUUCAACAAUUUGCUCUGUUCAGAAAGGCUUGUCCAAUUGCUCGUUCAUGUCAUUUGAGACCCUCGGUGUUAUCCCUGAAAGAGCUGCUGCUAUUUGGUUCUAGCUUGGUCUGGAUGUGGUGAACAAAUUUGUGAAAUAAGUGCAAAACUCAUGCUCCACUUCUUCAACAUUUUUAAUCGAUCUUCCGGUUUCAUCUUCAAUUCCCCAUAUUACAUUCUUUUUCUUCUGCGAUGAGGCUUUAUAAUGGAAAAACUUGGUGUUCUUAUCCCCCUUUUUAUGCCGAUCCGCUCUCGAUCGCUAUUUUCAGAAAAUCUCUUCACCAACCACUAUGUUAUGAAUAUGUCUCUCCACCCAUUUAAUUUCAUCCCCAAAUUCAUACUGCACAUUUUUUCCUUUAAGCUCUGCAACUGUUUCUUCAACUUCUUCAGUUUCUUUUCUCUCCCCUUAAAUUCUUCCUUGCUACACAGAAUCAAACUAGCCAUGGAAUCUUUAAUCACCUUAUGGGAUAAAUGUAUGGGAUCAUCUAUGUUCCAGCAUCCAUGUUUAUGCCAUUCUUCUUUAAUUAUACUUUUACAGGUGUCAUAUGAGAUCCACAUAUCUUCAUAAUGGAUUUGUGAAGUUCUCUUUAUUUGAUAAUUCAGGCCAUUACUUCUAUUAUAAACCUCCAUCAACAUCGGGCUGUGAUCGAACAUCCAACUCUUGAGAUUAACAGCUACACAGUCAACAAAUCUCUCACUUCAAACCUCAUUGCAUAAAAAUCUGUCUAAUCGUUCUUCCACAAAGUUAGGGCUAAAUCUUCCGUUACCCCAUGUAAACAGAUAUCUCUUGCAGCCUACAUCCUUUAGAUUAUAAUCUCUUAAGGCUUCUCUAAAGUCACUAAUUUGGUUUGGAUUUUUAUCAUUGCCAACACUCUUCUCAUGUGGGUGUAAAAUUUCAUUAAAAUCACCGAAACAUAACCAAGGUAUGGAAGAUAAAUCUGAUAGGCGUCUCAUUAAUGUCCAUGUGUGCUUUUUUUGUUGCAUUUCUGGAUGUCCAUACACUUAUGUACAUUGCAUUUGCUUUCCAUUGCCCAUUUGUUGUUCAGCAUCAAUGUGGUGCUUACUAAAUGACUUAAUUUGCACACAAAUUUCAAAGUUCCAAAGCAUUGCAAGACCUUCUCCCCUUCCAUUACUAUCCAUAGCAAAACAACUAUCAAAAUUUAGCUUACUACGAACCGUAUCCAUUUGCAUAGAUUGCAACUUUGUCUCACUCAAAAACAUAAGUUGAGGUCUAUGAAUUUGGAGAAUUUGUUUCAUUGCUAGGAACAUCCGGGAAUCCCCCAAACCCCGAAUGUUCCAGCUGAGGAUUUUCAUGGCUUCCAGCGUUCUUGAUCGCCAACCUCUACCGAUAUCUCUUAUAUGUUUGAGUCUGCAAUUUCCAUUCCCUCCAUUGCCAACGGUUCCUAGCUCAAAUUGAGUCUUGCCACUGGUGAAUUCAAUUGAUAUUACUUUGUUUCUAAUUUGGGUAGGCUAGUCACUUUCAUCUUCUUUUGUUUUGGACUUUGCCCAGUUAGCUCACAACUUGGCCUUUUUAACACCCCUAACCUAUAUUUGUUUCCACCAUUGGAGUUUGUGUUUCGGGCUUGUAAUUUUCAUUUCCUUCUAUUGGGUCUCAUUGGAGCCCUUCGAGACCAAUUUCCUCUCUUUGCUUCUUCCGCGCCUUCUUAGUACAAUAUCUCCUCAUAAACUUUAAUUGGUGUUGCCUCCAAACUUUCUCGCUUGUUUUUAACAUUUUUAUUUCUCGCAUGAAUUCCCACAUUUCCAAGUCCUCUUGUGUUUCCCUCUAUCUCAUGCUUCUUUUUGCCGCUUGUUUGCUGUGCCAUUGUUAUUUCCAACAUGCCAUUCAUUAAACGCUUUUCACCUACUCGUUCCACCUCAUCACCUAUAGCUAAUUCAUUAGUUUGACCCAUCUCUUCCUGAUUUGGUUUUGUCAACCAGGUUACUUUGACUCUGUUGAGGUUGUUAUGAGCAGCCAUAGUGUUCUGAGUUUGCCGAGUUACUCACUAAUUUGCCACUAUCCCUAUUCCAUCUCUCCUUGAUACGGUGCUUCUUUGAGCGUCCUCCUACUGUAACUGCCUUCAUCCACACCCCAUAUGGAAGUUCCUCUUUUCGUUGACCCUAAUACUUAGCACAUUCCUUGAACUAGUGGCUAAUAACUCCACAAAUGAAAUAAAAGUCAGGCAAUCAUUCAUAAUCUAUAGACAUUGGAAUAUCUGCAUCACCCUCUUGUAAGAUCUUUUCUAAUGGCUGAGUCAUUUUGAUCGAAAUUCUAACUCUUACAAAUUCCCCAAUAUAUUCACCAUAUUCGUUUGUUUCAACCUCCUUUACUAUUCUAAUCUUCCCACCCAAUUCUUGGAGAAAAUAUCUUUCCAAACAGGCAACUCGGACAUUUCGAAUCUACACCCAGAAUGUUGUAUGAGUGAAAGACUGUUUUGUGAUCUCCCCCAAUCUUCCCACCCAAUUCUUGGAGAAAAUAUCUUUCCAAACAGGCAACUGGGACAUUUCGAAUCUACACCCAGAAUGUUGUAUGAGUGAAAGACUGUUUUGUGAUCUCCCCCAAUUCCUUUCGGUUCUGUAAGGACAAUUAAGGCCUUAUCAAAGUGCCAAAGGCCUCCUGCCAUCACCCUUCUUUUAUCAGCUUCAUCUGCAAACUUGAACAUAAAGAUAUGAGCACCCAAGCUCUCUAUCUUAACUUCUUUAAUUGUCCUCCAAACUUGUUGUAAUGCCAUCUUCAGCCCUUUCUUAUGAACUCCUCUUGUAAGAAGUAUCUUGCCCAUCAAAUAGCCAGCCAAUACUUUCUCUCUUUUUUCUUUCAUUCUCACUUCCAAAGUUACUUUAUUUUUUUUUUCUCUUUGAUAGUUAUCGCUUUACACUUACGAAUUAAUUCCUUUGUAUCCAUAGCAUUUAAGACCUUUCAGAAAUAAUUGUUGCAUUCACUGUUCUAAAAGUAACCUUGUGUUUAAAUCCCUUACCUGUAACACCCUAGGCAAAUCUCACAUCGGCAAAACACAUGAUAAAUACUGGGUUUAUAAAGGGUGAUCUACAUCUUAAUUGACAAGAUGCGUUUUGGGGUGUAUAGGCGCCGUAGAAACAAACUUGUACAGAGCUUCUUAAGGCCCAACGCGGACAAUAUCUUGUCAGGUCUAGGUUGGGUCAUGACAUUAUGGUAUCAGAAUGGCUCUGCGUAUCAUCUUAAGCAAUGUUGGGGCAAACCACAGCGAGGACACUGAGUCCCCAAGAGGGGUGUGUGUAACAUCCUAGGCAAAUCCCACAUCGGCAAAGCAUGGGAGAGAUGUUGGGAUUAUAAAGGGUGAUAUACACCUUAACUGGCAAAACACAUUUUGGAGUAUAUGGGCGCCCCAGAAAUAAAACCGUGCAAGCCUUAUUAAGACCCAAAGUGGACAAUAUCUUGUAAGGUCUGGGUUGGGUCAUGACAUUAUGGUAUCAGAGUGGCUCUGUGUCCUCUUGAGCGAUAGUGGAGCAAAACUCAGCGAGGACGCUGAGUCCCCAAAGGGGUGUAUGUAACAUCCUAGGAAAAUCCUACAUCGGUAAAGUAUAGGAGAGAUGUUGGGUUUAUAAGGGUUAUCCACACCUUAAUUUGUAAGACGCGUUUUGGAGUGUAUGGGCACCCCUGAAACAAACCCGUGCGGGCCUUGUUAAGGUUCAAAACGGAUAAUGUAUUGUCAGGUCUGGGUUGGGUCAUGACAUUAUGGUAUCAGAGCGGCUCCACAUGUCCUCUUGAGCGAUGGUGAGGCAAACUUCAAUGAGGACGUUGAGUCCUCAAGAGGGGGUGUAUGUAACACCCUAGGCAAAUCCCACAUCGGCAAAGCACAUGAAAGAUGUUGAGUUUAUAAGGGGUGAUCUACACCUUAAUUGGCAAGACACGUUUUGGGCCUUGUAUAGGCGCCCCAGAAACAAACAAGCACAUCUAUUUUUUUCAAAAUUAAUAGUUGAGUCUUAAAUGUGAACUUAUUUAGUGGCUGCAAAUUAUGAACCCAUUUUUUAUUUCGGUGAAAACGAAAGUGUAAAAUGCAAAACAGAAAACGUAAAAUGAUAUGAUGCAAUAAUUACAUAAUUAAUGUUUUCCCUAAGAUAUAGUAAAAGCAUAUGUUUCACCAAAAAAUUUUGAAGCCUUACCGGUCCUCCCAGCCGUUUUAUUUAUUUAUUUAUUUAUUUUUAGUAUUUAUAUAAAUGAAACUAAAACUCUCGUCACCCACAUGAGUGGUUGAAUCUAAGCCACUUAAAGUUAAUAAUUCAUGGCUUGAGUGAGUUUGCUCCCCAGUUCGAGUCGCAGGGAAGUCGCCUUUGUUAGGAGAACCUGUGCCUCUCGGUUCGAGCGGGGACUUCUAGUCUAGGUUUUGGUACGGGCUUAAAGGUACCUCUCACAGUUGGGGUCCUCUCCAGGAUACCUCGUGGUCAAAACAAAAAAAAAAGUUAAUAAUUCAUGAAAUGGUGCCUUUGUUUUGUGGCGGUCCCGGGGCCUUUGCCUCUGAUUAAUAUUAUUCUUUUAGCGUGUGGAUUCCACAAAUCGAAACCCUUCGGAAUUUUAAUUAUUAUUUACUGAAAUAUCAUUUUCCCUAUGGCUUCUACAUAUUAUGCCUAUAGCUAGUGAUUGUUACGUAAUUCAUAUAAAAAAUCAAUUUUAGAAUUGUAACUAUUUUAAUUAACUGAUGCAAGGUAAAUUCCUUACAGAAAAAAUUCAUCUAUGUUCUCUUAGAUUAUAAAAGAUGAAAGUAGCGUAAUUAAGUUUAAGAGAAAACUGAUUUUAUUAAAUUUCAAGGACGAAACGAAAAAAAUAAUAAGAGAGAUAAAAAGAAUUUCUAAGAGAACGAAAGUAUCAUUCGACAAAUAAAUUUAAAUUCAUAAUUUUUUCUGCCCGAUCUAAUAUUAAUUCUUAGCGGCAAGCCUACGGCACAAGCCACAUAUAUGCAAUUAUGCAUAAUUUUUAUUGGUUAAAACGUGACAUUGAUGAUGUUGAAAGAACAAAUAAUAAACAAUAAUACAAUAAAACCUCCAAAUAGAAAUACUUUAUAUAUGAAUAAUUUCUUUAUAGUAAUUAAAAUUUUGGUCCCAAGUUGGGACCAGUUAUAAUUAAAAAUAAAUUUUACAUUGUAAUAAGUUAUAUUUUUUAUAAGUCCCGACUUAAUAAACUUACUUUCACAUAUUAAUAAUAUAUCAAAAAUAUAUAUCAUGUUACAUUUAAUAAUUAUUAAUUUAUUAAUACAUGACAUAAUUUACCCCUAUAUCACUUGCAUUAGAGAUAAUUAAGUAAAGACAAUAAUUUUUGUACUAUACUUCUAUUGAGUUAUAACCUCUUUAUUAAAAUAAAUUUCUCCAGUCUCAACAAUAUGAUUAUACAGAGAAUUUACUGUAUCAGGCUUUUUGAUGCGUAUAGAAAGCAGGACGAGAACACAAAAACACAAGUUUAAUUAAUUUAUUUGAAAAUACAUAGCAUGUUUCAGACAAGAAAAUUAGAUUAAACUCAAGUUUGAUAGUUAAUUUAUUUGAAAACACAUAACAUGUUUCAGGCCAAACGAUAAGAUUAAAUUCGAGUUUGUUAAGCACAAAAACUCUCUCGCAUAUGCCGCAAGCUAGCUUAUUAGAAAGAGCUGACCAAAUCACCCUCCGAUGAUGAUGAUCUUGUUGCAAUAUUAUUGUUUCCAUUGACCCUCCUGCAGUUCAAUCUAAUCUCCCCUUGAUUUCCUGUCAGUGGUUUCAAAUUGCCCAUUCUUAUCAUUGAGAUCACAAAGUUUUUAAAGAAAGCAGUCUGGUUCCUCCCAAAGUCCUCGACAAUGGCAGCGGUAUCGGCACCAGGAGUCGAAAACAACUCUUGAUCACUCUGCAGAAGGCCUUUGCGGAGUCUAAGAUUGGAGAAGUAUU
rnacentral:lncRNA from 1 species